rnacentral:misc_RNA from 1 species
AAGUCGUAACAAGGUUUCCGUAGGUGAACCUGCGGAAGGAUCAUUAAAGAGUUAGGGUCUCACAGGCCCGACCUCCAACCCUUUGUUGUUAUAACUAAACUGUUGCUUUGGCGGGACCGCUCGGUCUCGAGCUGCUGGUCUUCGGCCCGGCAAGUGCCCGCCAGAGUCUACUCAAACUCUUGUUUAACCGGUCGUCUGAGUUAAAUUUUUCGAUUAAUCAAA